AAAGCUAUAUGUGACUGGCGAGACGCGGACGAACCGCGAGGGAGCAUAUAGUGACGGAAAUGGCCGUUCGCCUGGGCUGAGGUA
rnacentral:ncRNA from 1 species